rnacentral:rRNA from 1 species
UACGUAGGGGGCAAGCGUUGUCCGGAAUCAUUGGGCGUAAAGAGCGUGUAGGCGGCUUGGUAAGUCCGCUGUGAAAGUCCAGGGCUCAACCCUGGAAUGCCGGUGGAAACUGCCAAGCUAGAGUCCGGAAGAGGCGAGUGGAAUUCCUGGUGUAGCGGUGAAAUGCGCAGAUAUCAGGAGGAACACCAAUGGCGAAGGCAGCUCGCUGGGACGGUACUGACACUGAGAGACGAAAGCUAGGGGAGCGAAUGGG